UUCCCAGCCAGUUUGGGUGUGUUGGUCUGGACUGAAGAGGGAUCUAGGUGGACACCACAGUCUCCAAUACAUUGGUAUUCUUCAUUCAGAAUCCCAGGUUGCCAUACAUACUAGGAGCUUAAGGAACUCAUAGAGGUGGUCCUUGUUCCACAGCUCACAUUCUGGCCCAGGAAACACCAGUAUGUCCUGGUCCUGGCAGUCCUAAAUCAACUCCUGAUCCAGGUUCUGCAGAGCCCACCUGAAGGGCUUGGAGGAGAGGGCUGCCUGGGGAUCUAAGAUCUGGGGAGCAGAGCCAGACCUGCUCAUGGCUUUGUUUACAGUCCUCCUGAGGUUGGAGGAGAGUGUGAUGCAGACAGUGAACGGUUUGUGUCUCACCUCCCCAUAAGCUUCUGUCACUGUGAGCAUUACCAUCAUCCCACAUCUGACAGUAAUAGUCAGCCUUGUCUUUGGCCCAGGCCCUUCUAAUGGUCAGGUUGGCUGUGUUCCCAAGGUUGGAGCCUGAGAUCUGGCCAGGGAUCCCUUAGGGCUUGAUUCUAUCACAAUAGAUGACUUACAGGAGCCUGUCCUGGAUUCUUCUGGUACCAAUAAAGAUAUCACAUCAACGAGAAUGAAAGUAAGGCCAGAAUCAUGGGGAUGGUGGAACAGAAAGAGAGCAAGUUCCCAGAUCUCAUGGCAUUGUAAACAUCAUCUUUGUCCAAUUAGGGGAAUAUGGAACACAAAUCCACCAGUUAACAAAAACGAUGAGAGGGAAAGAACCCCACAGUGGUAAGUGCUGUGCAUAUAAUCAAUACAGAUCUAGGCAGAAAAUGGGAGCCAGAUCAUUUUAUAAAUCAAAGGCUGGGGGAGCCCCUGAAGAAGUAACUGUGGAACUGCUCCCAGAAAGGAAUGAGGAAACAAGCAACAGGAAGUGAGUGUGGGAAGAGCUGAAUCAGUGCUAGUGGGGAAGAGUCAGAUGUGGCCCAGGAUCUGAAAGAACCAUGUCCCACCUAAGGGCAUCUGAGAUUCAAAAUGCUUCAAGUCAAGUGUAAUACUUUCUUGUAAACGAAGAGUUUAAGGA